rnacentral:rRNA from 1 species
GCGGGAUGAGCUCAAGCUUAAAAUCUCUGUGCAGGUUCUGCAUGGCGAAUUGUAGUCUAUGGAGGCGAUGUCAGUGCGGUUGUGCGGGAUAAGUUCCUUGGAAGAGGACAGCAUCGAGGGUGAUACUCCCGUAUGUGCCUGUACAGCUGCGCGUACGACACGUUUUCUUUGAGUCGCGUUGUUUGGGAAUGCAGCGCAAAGUAGGUGGUAAAUUCCAUCUAAAGCUAAAUAUUGGUGCGAGACCGAUAGCGAACAAGUACCGUGAGGGAAAGAUGAAAAGAACUUUGAAAAGAGAGUUAAAGAGUACCUGAAACUGCUGAAAGGGAAUCGAAUCGUUUCCAGUGUCUAUAAUCCAUGACAUAUUUCAUUGGCGCGUGAAUGCGUGCAGCGUUUUGGAAGUGGGUUUCCUCUCCUGGCGUUGUUGUGCGUUUGCUUGCUGGUGCCCUGUGUUGUGGUGGGACGUCAGAGUCAGUUCGUAUGCCGCGGGAAAUGGCUGUCAGGGAGGUAGGUCGCUUCGGUGAUUGUUAUAGCCUGGCAGUUAGUAGUCGUGGUUGGGACUGAGGUGCCUACAACGCGCUUUCGAGUCUGCGGGACUCUCGUCUGGUUGCCUGCUUGGACAGCUUGCUGUGCUAGUGGUCACAUCGGGGCGAUUGAGAUCUGUAGUAACUUGUUGCCGU